rnacentral:rRNA from 1 species
UACAGAGGGUGCAAGCGUUAAUCGGAAUUACUGGGCGUAAAGCGUGCGUAGACGGUUACAUAAGUCGGGUGUGAAAGCCCCGGGCUCAACCUGGGAAUUGCAUUCGAGACUGCGUAGCUAGGGUGCGGAAGAGGGAAGCGGAAUUUCCGGUGUAGCGGUGAAAUUCGUAGAUAUCGGGAGGAACACCGGUGGCGAAGGCGGCGACCUGGGUCGAGACUGACGCUGAGGCGCGAAAGCGUGGGGAGCAAACAGG